ACUGAUUGGUCUAACCCUAGAAUAAUUGGUUGCCAGUCAUAGAAUCAUCUUGUACUGUUGUACAUAACUAAUUUUGACUUGAACUUUGGUGUGGUCGUGUAUCUUUGAAGUUUUCUGGAGACAGACUACUCUUGCAUCAUUAUGUGCAACCCACAGGUAUCUCACUCGGCGAGACAUGCACACCUAUGCCACAUCUUUACAUGUUUCACAAAAACAUAAACAUGAUUGGAUGGGCGUCCUUGCCGGCGACCUCGCUAUCUCCAACCCAUCCACAGGUUGCUUGGUGUCCUCUCAUCGUGUCUAUUGGUGCAGUAUCACAUAUCCUCUCUCGAAGAGAUGAGAUAAGGAUUACAGGGCUACCAACAACCCACCUCACCUAUAAUGGAAGACAUCCUGAUUCAUUGUUGCAAGCUAGAGAACAAUAACUAUCAUGUUGGUGAUUUCCUUGAUAUAUGGUUCUACACGUGUGUCAUAUGGACCAAUGAAAGCAAAGAUAUUCCGGAGAUAAUAACUAUAUGGGCUACUCCAAAUGGAGUGGCAGUGGAACCAACACCUUUUAUAGGCCUUCAAGUACCUGUGUGGAAGUCUACCAUGCAAGCAUUAUCCGACGACUAACACUUUGCUUAUGUGUACAUAUCCUCUGAAGACCACAACCGGACUAAGAA